UGGGUGUGAAGACCCUUCGUUGGCUGAAGCUUGCGCUGCUAUAUAUCAGGCACUUCAGAUUGCAGUACUAUCGUAGAGAUGAUUCAGGGAGAAAAGCAAAUCCCUAGAACGUGAACAUUAUUUUGGGAAUUCAGGGAAAAGAUUAUUCAAUUUAGGAAUUGUAGCUUUAUUGGCCCAUACUCAUCCUAAUAGGGUGUGGAUUGAAGAAGCCCACCCAUUGCUUCUGCUAGGAGACUAGCUUCAUUGGCCCAUACUCAUCCUAAUAGGGUGUGGAUUGAAGAAGCCCACCCAUUGCUUCUG
rnacentral:lncRNA from 1 species